AUUUAAAUUAAACUGCGGCUGGUGCUAUGGUAUGGUGGAGUGUAGGAAGGGGUAGGGCAUACCCAAAUCAUGAGGCAUUGCCAACUUAGAUUACUAAAAAAGGGGGCGAGUAGUGCUAUGGAUAUGACAGCUUCGUUCCCUGUUAGUUUAUCUUUAUCGAAAUUAUUAAAAAACAAAUAUUAUUAGUCAUAAAACUCAUCUAGUGUGGAGUAGGGUUAAAUCGUCGGCAAAAAAAUCACCAGAAACAUUAACAUUCCGCAAGUGGUCGUGUUGUCGUGGUUAGUGAAGGCCGUGCCGAUGCUAUUUACACGCCGUUUUUCCACUAUUCCCCUGAACGAAACUGAUAGAGGAGAUUUUGUAACGAAAUAGUCGGAGUUUCGUAGUGCUCGUCCAUUGUACACAUUUCAGACAUUUUGUGGUUAGUUUCAAGUUGCACAACAUCGAGAAAACAUUAGUUUGAAGUUGAAGUCUAGCAGUCGGUGUUUGAAACAAGGCUAGCUGGAUGUGUAGAACAACAAUUGAGAUAAUUGUUUUGCAUUUUUCGGCGUUUGCCUCCUGUUGUGAAAUGGAGCUUGAAAAAACAAGGAAUGAUGUAAAUCAAACCAUUUCGAUUCUGUCUAAAGCAUCACAAUUUUCUUCUGCUCUUGGCCAAAGGCAUUGCUUUGGUUAGUUUGCUUAUUUGUGUGAGGUGUGUAUGUGACGGGAAGCAGAAUUAAGCAUCGGUAAUGUUCGACAAUAGUUCAUGUAUGAUUUGUUUCCCUUCAUCUUUACUAAUAAUUGAAAUAUUUUCAUUUCUUUUGCCGGUUAAGAAGUAGAUAUGGAGCCAAAUUACAUCUGUUCCAAGUGCCAUGUUAUCGUAGAAGGUGGAAUGAAAGGUUUUCAAGCUCACAUGAGAACACCAGAUCAUUUACCUCCUUACAUUUGUGGCCACUGUAGUUUUGAUUAUGCUCAUCUCUCUUCGCUCUAUGUUCACUUGAGAA